GCCUCCGGUCGGUCCGUUAGAGGUGGAGGAAGGGUCGGCCCAGCCCGGUGGGCAGGUUCCUGGCGGCCAAUUCGGCCCGGGGCCCGUUUCGGAAGGCGGCAGGACCGGCCAUCUCCAGCUGCAUCACGCUGCGAGGCUUGCUUGAAAGGAUCGGAUCUGAGUACUACACAGAAGAUAUAUUGGACACCUGUUAUACAACAUUUCUCCCUGAGGAAGUUUGCAAAUCAACCCAAGACUGGCCUGGAUUCAGUGGAAAAGAACAGAAGCAGGAGGAGAACUUGAGGUGGGAAAGACUGCAAGUUCCUUGAAGACAGGGCUCAUGCCUUAACUCCACCAUACUCUCUCAAUUUAGUACAGUGCUCUGGACCCACUAGAUGCUCAAUAGAUCUGACUGAAUGACGGCAAAGCCCGGAUGAAAGGCUAUAGCAGCACAGCUGGAGAAGCACAGAUAAUUCAGAGUUUAAACGACAAGACAAAUCCAACCAAUCUCUUCCAACCUAUUUUAGAAGGAUGUCCUAGCCUGCUCUAUUCCAUUUCAAGAAAUAGUAUUUAGAAAAAGGAAACGGUGCCGCAUAACAUUUGUCUCAAACAAAUCAAACAACCAACAGAAUACAAUUUUUUUUAAAAAACCCCCACAAGAAUCUUUGUGAAAACACAAUAGGAAAAGUCUUUUAAACAUUUAUAUUGGUAGUUACCCCGAACAAAUAUCAAAAAUAUUCUUCCUGCAUUGACAACUCCAGAUUUCUUAUGUGACUUGAAGAUGUCUGAGACAUAAGCUCUUCAGAUUGCUUCUUCCUCUACCUGAAAUUCAACUUUAAUCCUGAGAAAAAACUUGGGCUCCACAAUAGGGAGUCCAUGAUUCCUCCUUGUCUCCAAUGGACACUCAAUUGGGAAUCCCAAGCCAUGGAAGGAUGACUCGACUUAGCAUAUUUCGAACACAUAAUCAGGAGGACUCAUUCUCUGGAGAAGACACUAAUGCUAGGAAAAGUCCGUGGAAGAGGCAGACCGGCAG